rnacentral:lncRNA from 12 species
GAUGACCUGCUCAGAGACAGCACUGAUGAUCCUCACGCUACAACACCUGGAUGGAAGGCGAUGAUAGAGCUGGAAAAGGAGAUUUGGAUAUUUCAUUCUUGAGAUCAACACCUCAAGCCUCAACAUUGAAGAUAUCUAAAAACAGCAGAUGAAUUUCUUAUUGUAGCAGCUGAAGCAGAAUGAAUUAAGUAUGGUGCCAAGGUAAAUAACCUGUUUUAAGACAUGUAUUUUAUGUCAAAUGAUCCCUAACAUUAUACCCAAGUAAUAGUCAAU